rnacentral:rRNA from 1 species
AGUGAACGCUGGCGGUAGGCCUAACACAUGCAAGUCGAACGGCAGCACAGUAAGAGCUUGCUCUUACGGGUGGCGAGUGGCGGACGGGUGAGGAAUACAUCGGAAUCUACUUUUUCGUUGGGGAUAACGUAGGGAAACUUACGCUAAUACCGCAUACGACCUACGGGUGAAAGCAGGGGAUCUUCGGACCUUGCGCGAUUGAAUGAGCCGAUGUCGGAUUAGCUAGUUGGCGGGGUAAAGGCCCACCAAGGCGACGAUCCGUAGCUGGUCUGAGAGGAUGAUCAGCCACACGGGAACUGAGAAACGGUCCAGACUCCUACGGGAGGCAGCAGUGGGGAAUAUUGGACAAUGGGCGCAAGCCUGAUCCAGCCAUACCGCGUGGGGGAAGAAGGCCUUCGGGUUGUAAAGCCCUUUUGUUGGGAAAGAAAAGCAGCAGGUUAAUACCCCGCUGUUCUGACGGUACCCAAAGAAUAAGCACCGGCUAACUUCGUG